AAAAAAAAAACAAAAAAAAAAAGAAUCAUCAGGGUUACUUUGACAGAAGAAAUCAAGUAGAUGGCCAAUUGGAGUUGACCAAAGCUACUAUUUGCAGUCUCAGGAAACCUAGUGAAGGUGAUCUGGUUGGAUCUUUUGCUAGAGGAUUAUUUCUUGUUCACUCACAGUGCUUAAAUUCAAACUACCUUGCCAGCAGGCCCAGUCAACGCUGUGAUUUUUUAUGGGAGUUGUUAAUUUACAUCAUUUUUAUCAAUGGUGACUAAUAUCUUACCUACGUUUACAGGGUACCGUCCAUGCCUAUGUGGCGAUUUCAGGAGGUAAAACUUGCUACCUUUCAGAGCUCAAGACAAGGAAAGAGAUCCUUGUAGUUGAUCAAGAUGGCAUACAACGAACAAUAGUAGUUGGACUGCUAAGUUGAUUUAGAUGAGGAAACUUGUUACAACAUUCUACAUUGUCGGACUCGUACCACCCAACAAAGGUUU